rnacentral:misc_RNA from 1 species
AAAAUAAACGACCCCGCGCUCACCUUGUAUUAAAACUGGCGCGCGGUAAAAGGGAAGAAGAAGAGGAGAAAGUGGGCCAAUCAGAACGUUCAAAACAACAACCACUACCACUACCGCUUCCGUUACCGUCCUUCUCCCCCCCGAUAUCCAUCCGCGUCGCGUCGUUUUGGCCAUUUUGCACGCGACCACCAACGCGUUCGGUUUAACAAUUGUGUGUGCGUUAUUUUUUCAAUUUUCCAACGGUGAAAAUCCCGGAUUUUUUCAUCAACAAAUCGUGAAAAUGGCCGAUAAUAAAGUGGAAAACGCUGAUGUGGCGGAAGAAGUUUGUUGCCUGAAGGAGAAACCGACGACGGAGAAGAAGGCGGCGGAGGAAAAGAAGGAGACCGUGGUGAAACCGACCGUUGACGAAGGGAAGGAAGAGAAAGAGGCUGAAGAAAAGGCGGAAAACGGCGACGCUAAAGAGGAAAAUGGUAAAGAAGAGGAAGAGGGGGAAGAUGAAACGGAAAAUGACAAAGAAGCAGAAUCGGACGUGAAGGCUUGUAAAAGGAAGUCGACAACCGGUGAUGCAUCAAAUGGGGUUGAAGCUACAACUCCAGAGAAGAAACAAAAGUUGGAAUCUAACAAAGGGGAUGAAAAGGACACCGAGGUGGCCGCUUAAUCGACCACAAAAAUAAAGAAAGCAGGAAUCUAAGCGAAAAAAUCGUACGUUUAAUUUUAUCUUUAUUUUUUAACCAUCCGAAAAAAAGAAAUAAGAGUAUAAAAAUUUUCCGUUUAGUUUAAAAUCACCCCCUUAAAAGAAUUUAAAGUUGUCGUUUAAUGUCGUUCUUAAAUAGUUUUUUGCUGUUAAUUUAAUAUUAAUGAAGAAAAAGGUAUAUUAUAUAAACUAUAAAGUAAAAGAUAAAAAAAUGGUGUACAUAAUCACGAUGAUGCGUUGUUUUGUGCAUAACAGGGAGUUAUUUUUACUUUUAGGUUUUUAUUUGUUUUUAUCCCUCCAAAAUUCCAAUUUAAUUAACCCUUCAAUUCAAAAAGAAUUGUACAAGAGAAUGUUUUGAAUAUAAAUAACCCAGUUAUUACAAUAUAAUUUAAGUUCAAAAUUAAGGGGUUAAAAAAAAUCCUCUCUCUUGCAUUUAAUUUAGAAUUCAACCCUUUUUUUCUGUAUUUAUUAAAGAAGGGAUCUCCUAUUUGUAUGAUUUUCUUCGUUUUUCCGUAAAAUUGUCUUUCGUUACAGGGUGUUCCAAUAAAUAAGUUUGAAUUAAAAAAAGUUUCAAAUAGUAGAAUAGAAUUAUCUCAGUGUGUACAUUUUUUUACAUUAAAAAAAAAAAUAUAUCAAUAAAAAGUUAAAAAUAAGAUGAAGGAGUUUUUGGACGCCCUGUAGAUAUAAAAAAAGGUGUUGUAAGUUUAGAAUGUGUGUGUUUAAAUAUUAUAAUUUUCUUUGGAUAUGAAAUUACUUUAAAAUGAAAGUAUAAAAAUAAAAAAAUAGUGUUUAAAUGUACUUAACUAUUUCUUAAGAAUUUACCUGACUAAUUUUUAAUGAUUAUUUCGCCCUCCCCAUAUCUCAUUUAGAAUAACCAUUUAUUCCUAUUAUUUAGGCGAUGAGUUGAGGUAAAAAUAAACUGUGUUGUAAAGUUUCA